CUGCAUGUAUUUGAUAGUUUGCUCAAUCAGAUUUAUGCCUUCAACCACAGCUAAGGCUACCACACUACUUCAUUGAGAUUUCUUUCCUACAGGACAUGGAUUAAUAAUAUCCAACAAUACAGUCAUGCUUUCUUAUAUUUACUUUCAGUUCUAAAUACAUUUGUGAUUUUCUAUAUGCUGUCUUACUAAACUGUGUGUGCUAAACCAACCAUAUGGUAUAUAGAAAGGAUUCUACAAUGUUAGCUUAUAUUGCAAACUCUUGAAAAUAUGCGGUCAUUUUACUGUUUUUGCCGUGAACUUGGGGAGCUUGGGACAGAGUAUGGUGUCAAUAAUCAGUAUAUACCAGAACAAUAUUUUUGUGAUAUUGUAUAUACUGACUUAGUGAUAAUGGAGUAUUUACCACAUUUUUUCCAUGGACUUUAUACUGCAUUUUUGAACUGGUUAGAAUAGCUGACGCCUUUUAUAUCUUCCUUGUGGUAUAUGCUACCAUCCAAGGGAGUAUAUAAGGCACUAAUUUCAAGUAUAUACUAUUGUACUAUAUUUUGUCUAUAUACAUCUACAACCAAGUAGUAUGUGCACUGCUCUUUGUGCAUGGCAGUAUAUACAUCAUUUUUUUGUAAGGCAAUAUAUAACAGCUUUUUUGUGAACCAGUAUACUACUUUUUUUAGUCAGUAUAUAUAGACAUAAUCUUUUAGUCGAUAUAUACUACUUUUUUUUAGUCGGUAUAUACUACUGUUCUUGAUAUAAAGGGUAAAGCAGCGCACACAUGACGCGCAGCAGCCGUUGUCGACUAGACGGUGGUGCCGCUGCAUGGAUCUAUCAGUGCAUGCCACGCCGCCACCAUUUCUUAUUGCUGCCGUUAUUGAUGAGAUUGGCAGUGCCGUCGUAUGGGUCGAUCAGUGCACACCAUGCUGCCACGUUGUCGACGUGAUGGUAGUGCCGUCUUAUCCAUCGAUGCUAUGUGACUUGCUUGACCAAUGGCUUUGCACCUUGAUCCAGAUUGUUUUCAUGCAAAGCCUGUCAUGUUUGCCUCCUAAUGACCACAUCCACUAAGUCAGUUCUCUCUCUCUACUACUGCAAGUAACUAACUGUGAUGAUCUUCUCCAGGUUUUUUGGCUGGAUACUGAGAUGGCACCAUUGUGCUGCUGAAGUUAAACCCUGUUUAUUGGGACGUGGGCGGCAAGCACACAUGGCGGCAGGAGACAAGCCAUAUUUUACCAAUGACUGCUGCUAGGAUUGAUGUCCUAUUGCCGGAGAAACAAUGGCAACAGUCGCACCGUUUUUUCUUAGUUUCUUUCCAAGGUAAUUGGUGUGGUUGAUUGCUACCGAGUGCAAAUAUUCUGCUCCUGAGCUUCAAAUAUAUUUUAAAAACAAAUCAAAUCUCUCCUUUAAAAUUCAAAAAAAUCCUUAAAUUUCCAUACAUGUAAAUGUCCAUUAUGUAUAUGUAGCAUUAGAUUAUAAUAAAUUGUUUGCAGGUUAUACAAAAAUACUUAUCUCUAGAUCUGAAAUAGCAAACGGUAAAUAAAAGCGAUGCACGCAUUGGUCUUUCAGUGUGAUAUACAAAAAAAGGAUUUUAUAAUAACGUUUAAAGGUCGACAGUACAAAUCAACAUGUAUAAUUUUUCUGAAACUUCAAGAACGCACUUUUUGUUUCUUCUUUUGAACCGACCUCAAAGGAGCCAUUCAGGGUUUCCAUGAAAUAUCAUGAUAUAUUAAUGUCACAGAGUUCUAAAUCGUUGAUUUGGUAAGCACACAAGAUUUUGAACCACACCGUUAAUAAAGGAGAAAGAUAGUAUAUUUUCUAAUGAAAAUAUAAUAAUUAUUUUUAGAGUAAGGCAUGUUAAAUAAUAAACUAGGGCGUACUGAGAUCCAAUAAGUCAAUAGACGUAUGAAAAAACUGGUGAAUUUUGUCAUAUUGUAGAUGCGCAUGUUCGAUUCACAUUUUAAUUUAAUUGCAUAAAUUGUGUAUGACUCGAACUCUAGAGAAAUUUUCUCGGUGCAGGCACUCAAUUCACGAGCCAAACAUUGAUGUGGGCUACCAUGGGGGCUAGGAAGCAGGAUCAACUUGAAGCGAACUUAAAAUUAAUUCUAAUGAGCAUUUUGUCUUCAUUCUGUCUUGAUGCAAAUACAUCAACGUGUGGACUACCAUCCAUUGAUGCGUGGAGACCAAGUUACUGUGGCAACAUAUACGCCAAUGAUUUUAUCUACUGAUCAAUCUAUAAUUUCCUUUUUCUAUUUAUUAGAGUUGAUCUCUGUUUUCUCUUUGUCUGUUCAUGCUUGUGGCAAAAUCGCAGAUAUUCAUGUAUCGGCCUCACGCGAGUCGUUGCUAGAGCCCAAUCAUGGCGAGGAUACAUGGUGGAUGGCCCAACGAUCCUUAGGGAUGGAAGGAUCCCAUGACUACAGGAAUAGCACUAAAUAAACUAUGUACUAACUAGAGCAAUGAUAUAUUUCAUAGGUCUAGGAUAUAUAUGUGAAAUAACAAUUUACUUCAUAUAACUACUAGGCUGACAAGUAUUUGGCAUUCUGUGUUUUUAAUAAGUAGAUGCUUUUU
rnacentral:lncRNA from 1 species